CAGGUUUUUUUCCUGUCACAGAAGCUGAUGAAGACUGUUGAAAAGGAAAAUUACAUGGAAAAGCAUACUUAGAAAUUUCUAUUCUCAGCAGUGAUACUCUUGGUGUUAAUAAGAAACGUGUGUUUGAAGAUGAUGCAGCACCAUAGAUAUGGAAGAAAACAAGAUUUAUGUGAAUGGAGCCCAUUAAAAUGUCACUUGAAAGACACUUCAGUGGGACAAGCCAGAGGUGGUAAUUAAUAGCUUUAUUGUGAAAUGUGUCAUCUCGUACAAGCUCUGCCAUCAAUCUGAAGACUGUUACCAAAUAAAUUUUCCUUUAACAGACCAAAAGCAGUGGAAUCUGUAAGUGGAAAGUGGGGAGAGACAGAAAACUGGAUGAUAAAAUAUAACUUGACACAAGAUUCUACAACAUAAAGAUUCUAACGAGAUAAUGGUCAACAUUAUCAGAUGUAAAGAGUAUUCUGGGCUGCACUAGGAGAAAUCUUGUCAGAAGAUUGAGGGAGGUGAUACUUUUUCCCUGCUGAGAACUGAUGUUCUGCUCCCAGCACCUUGACAUUCCUGUUCUUGUGCAUCUGCAACAACAACUAUGGAACUGCAGGAGACAAGGAAAGAAAAGGAUUUCAAAAACUGCUUCUGCAUCUUUCCUGGUCCCGAAACAGAAAAAGACUGACUGAGAUGCUCAUCAACUUCCUCUAUAUGGAUAAAGAUGAAGCUUCUGGAGUUGAAGACACGGACCCUAAAAGAACUCAAAGCUGAAGUGAGAGUAGUGAAAAAUCUGUUGGAGCAGAGUUGUCAGAAAUGAGUCAGAACCAGAGUUUUUGCCUCAAAAUGCCUAUGAUUGACACAUGCAUAAGUGGGUGAAGCUCUCCCAGAUGCAUUUGGGUCUGAGUCCUUUUUGUCUUUAAAAGGCAUGAUGCUGCACACAUCCUGUUCAAAUGCAAGCUGAACAAACUCCUGACUUCUCAGAUUCGAAUGGUAGCCCUGCAGGGAGGACUGAGGUGAAAAAUGUUGCUGGGAAAUUACUGGCAAUGCUUUUACACUGCCCCCAAAAAGGAACCUAAACACAUCAUUCUUCCCUCCUUGCAGGUCUUUCAGGUAAAAACCUGGCUAUUAAAGUAAAAUGGGAGUUUUGUCAUUUCUGCCAGUGGGGUAGGGUUUCAACCCUUGGUUUUGUGUUAUGAAGUAUAUAGAGCAAGUAUUUUU